AAAGGGGGAACUGCGGAAGGAUCAUUACCGAGUGAGGGCCCUUUGGGUCCAACCUCCCACCCGUGUUUAUUUUACCUUGUUGCUUCGGCGGGCCCGCCUUUACUGGCCGCCGGGGGGCUCACGCCCCCGGGCCCGCGCCCGCCGAAGACACCCCCGAACUCUGUCUGAAGAUUGAAGUCUGAGUGAAAAUAUAAAUUAUUUAAAACUUUCAACAACGGAUCUCUUGGUUCCGGCAUCGAUGAAGAACGCAGCGAAAUGCGAUACGUAAUGUGAAUUGCAAAUUCAGUGAAUCAUCGAGUCUUUGAACGCACAUUGCGCCCCCUGGUAUUCCGGGGGGCAUGCCUGUCCGAGCGUCAUUGCUGCCCUCAAGCCCGGCUUGUGUGUUGGGCCCCGUCCUCCGAUUCCGGGGGACGGGCCCGAAAGGCAGCGGCGGCACCGCGUCCGGUCCUCGAGCGUAUGGGGCUUUGUCACCCGCUCUGUAGGCCCGGCCGGCGCUUGCCGAUCAACCCAAAUUUUUAUCCAGGUUGACCUCGGAUCAGGUAGGGAUACCCGCUGAACUUAAGCAUAUCAAUAAGCCGGAGGAAAUUA
rnacentral:rRNA from 1 species